rnacentral:rRNA from 1 species
GAUGAACGCUGGCGGCGUGCCUAACACAUGCAAGUCGAGCGAGAUUUAUGUGAGUGGAGACUUCGGUUGAAGCGAACAUAAUGAAAGCGGCGGACGGGUGAGUAACGCGUGAGCAAUCUGCCCCAUACAAAGGGAUAACCACUGGAAACGGUGACUAAUACCUUAUAAGACCACAGAGCCGCAUGGUUCGGGGGUAAAAGAAUUAUCGGUAUGGGAUGAGCUCGCGUCUGAUUAGCCAGUUGGUGAGGUAAUGGCUCACCAAGGCGACGAUCAGUAGCCGACCUGAGAGGGUGAACGGCCACACUGGAACUGAGACACGGUCCAUACUCCUACGGGAGGCAGCAGUGGGGAAUAUUGCACAAUGGGCGCAAGCCUGAUGCAGCAACGCCGCGUGAAUGAUGAAGGCCUUCGGGUCGUAAAGUUCUGUCCUAAGGGAAGAAUACAGUGACGGUACCUUAGGAGGAAGCCCCGGCUAACUACGUGCCAGCAGCCGCAGUAAGAC